rnacentral:lncRNA from 11 species
GCUGAUGAAAGUGACAAGGAAGGCAAGUGGCAGCAAAGCAACGAGGGGACUCUGGGCCAUGUCCAUUCACAUCCAUGAAUAGCCUCCAUAACCAUGGCACCACAAGGCAAGGGAUGAAGGCCACAGAGCCCAAGGGCCUGGUGUAUCAACUUCUAUGGAGCUGGUUAAGAGCAAUCCAAGAAACCAUCACAUUGCUGUCACAGUUUGCUGAGCACCAGGCCCAAUGGGCACUCCAACAGGUUUCCAGUAAUCAUCUGCUGCAGACUCUGUGUCCAUGUUUAAGAUCCUAUAUAAGAACGAAUGCUCAGCUCACGACAAACCCCAGAGAGGAACAAGAAGAAACAGCAAACAAUAGGCAGAAAAAGUCCAAGAACCAGCAUAAUGAAGAUGGUGCAACUUCUUCUGGCUCUAGGAGGGAGCAGACAUCCCCUCCUUCACAGUCCAUUUACAGCCUAUUUGAUGGA